rnacentral:lncRNA from 1 species
CUUUUGUGGCGCGAUGGGAAAUUAUGCUUUGUGGGUGUCAGUUGUUGAUGUGUGCAAGGGUCCCUGGUUCGAGCCCAGGUUGGGGCGAAGAGAGGGACAGAACCUACACUGUUACAUUGGUGCCGUGACCCGGAUCAUUGGUUGCUGCGGAAAAGGAGGAGGUCAAAAGGGGGGGUCCCUGGUUCGAGCCCAGGUUGGGGCGAAGAGAGGGACGGAACCUACACUGUUACACCAACAGGCAAGGAGGCUCCCUGGAUGCUGGCUGGAACAGGAGAGCAGGUGGACAGUUGGUUGAUCGCCUGCUGCUGCUGAGGGAGAUGGAGGGAAACAGACACCAAGGAACAUUUAACCCCACCGAUACCACGGUCCUAUCCCCGAAACUGUUAUUAAUCACAUCUUCUGGGUUGUAGUGGAAGAAAACCUUGUUGGAGAGGAGGAGGAGGAGAGAAAGAGAGAGAUGGGGGGUAGAGAGAGAGUGCAGAUUAGUGAUCACUGAACAGUGAGAGGAACAGGACUGAACCAGGAACAUCUUACUGGUCCAAACUGGAUCUCACCAGAUUCCUUCCCACUGAUAACGAGCGUUGGCCUUAUUGACAACAUUGUCCUGUACUGGUGAUUGUUAUUGACAACAUUGUCCUGUAC